rnacentral:rRNA from 1 species
UACGUAGGUGACAAGCGUUAUCCGGAAUUACUGGGCGUAAAGCGCACGCAGGCGGCUGAGUAAGUCUGACGUGAAAUCUCCCGGCUUAACCGGGAGCGGUCGUGGAAACUACUUGGCUUGAGGCGAUGAGAGGGGUGUGGAAUUCCCGGUGUAGUGGUGGAAUGCGUAGAUAUCGGGAGGAACAUCAGUGGCGAAAGCGGCACCCUGGCAUUGGCCUGACGCUCAGGUGCGAAAGCGUGGGGAGCGAACGGG